CUUGAAAUGGGCUGAGUCCCUCUUGCUCACCCUUGACUUGGAAAAACCAGUUUCUCUUUUAUUGUCUGUUACUAAUCUCUAUUCUAAAAAUUCAGCUCAAUUCUCAACCAUACUCCAAACUCUCUCUUUUCCAGCUACCUUUACUCCCUCUCCUUCAAUUCCACUUUCCUCUGCUUACUUUUUUUUUUUUUCUGACAGGGUCUCACUUUGUCGCCCGGGCAGGAGUGCAGUGGCUCAAUCUUGGGCUCACUGCAGCCUCAACCUCCCAGAGGCGGGGUUUCACCAUGUUGCCCAGACUGGUCUUGAACUCCUGAGCUUAAGCAAUCCACCUGCCUCGGCCUCCCAAAGUGUUGGGAUCACAGGCGUGAGCCACCGCAUCCGGCCUCAUGUUCUUUUUCAUUAAAGAGAGAAAUCAACUAUUCAGGACCGGCCCCCACCUUUCCUCAGGAGUCAUUUCUGUUCCGCACAGGCCUGCUGAACUGGGUGCUUUAUAUAGGACACUGUCAUCUCUCAAGUACCCAUCUUGGAGGGUACGGACCCCACAUGAGGAAAGGACCAACCACACCGAGCUCAGUUAUGGCACACACAGUGGGACCUAGACAAAGGGAGAGGGUGACCGACAUCCCAACUAGGUAAACACAGAGGAGGUUCCACAUGGACUUAUCUGGGUGGCUGUUUUGAAAACGAGAAACAGUCAAGAGUCCCUGGCCCCACAGACCCACCUCCCCAACUCAGCACUGUCUGUCUGUGCAGCAGGUGCAAGGACGUGUUGAACUAGCUCUCUGCAGCCUCCUUGGAGGAUGUGAUCCUAUGGGAGGGGUAGGAGUAUUCAGGUCCUUGACAUCUCCCAAAUGUGUGAUUCCGGGAUGCCAAAGGCCUUUGGCCAGAUUUCAGUGGAGUGAAGUUCAGGAGGCAUGGAGCUGACAACCAUGAGGCCUCGGCAGCCACCGCCACCACCGCCGCCGCCACCACCGUAGCAGCAGCAGCAGCAGCAGCAGCAGCAGCAGCAGCAGCAAGAGUAACUCUGACUUAGGAAUAGAGACAGCCAGAGAGAAAUGUGAUCAAUGAAGGAGACAUCUGGAGUGUGCGUGCUUCUUCAGAGGGACGGGUGAUGGGCAGAUUGGAAAAAGCACCGCAGAUGGGAACCUUAAUCUUUCUUUUCUAAAAUUGAUGCUAUGAAAAUUUGCGUUUUCUGUAACUUGUAAAAACUAAAAGUUGCUUGUCUACUGAAAAGCCUCUCUGCCUCUAUGUUUUAUACCAUCGGAUGCCAACUCCCGGCCUUCUAAGCCACCUCCCCUUUAGGCUAAAACUGAGACAUGAACUUGAAAAAUUGACACUGGCUUCCUCUCUCUUUAGGGUCCCCAGGCAGGUGGCUGGGACACUAUUUGCAAUCAGCAAGGAACCCUGCUGCCCUUAGACUCCCCACAGAGCAAGCAGAACUUGCAGAAUGGGGUAAAAACACUCUAUUAAAGAUUUUUUAAACCUAUUUAUAUUGUAAUAAAGUAAAUGUAAAUAAAAUUUAAGUGAAGGCAG
rnacentral:lncRNA from 1 species